AGAACUGGAACUGUGUAGC
rnacentral:misc_RNA from 1 species